CAGCAUAGCCAUAUUACUUUUUGCUCUGAUCCCAUCAUCUCUCAGAAGCCAAGCAGAGUCAUCCUGUGGCAGUACAUGGAUGCGAGAUCUCCAGAAAAGACACAGAGUGUUGUGGU
rnacentral:rRNA from 1 species